AUGAACGCUGGCGGCGUGCCUAAUACAUGCAAGUCGAGCGAACAGAUGAGGAGCUUGCUCCUCUGACGUUAGCGGCGGACGGGUGAGUAACACGUGGAUAACCUACCUAUAAGACUGGGAUAACUUCGGGAAACCGGAGCUAAUACCGGAUAAUAUAUUGAACCGCAUGGUUCAAUAGUGAAAGACGGUUUUGUUGUCACUUAUAGAUGGAUCCGCGCCGCAUUAGCUAGUUGGUAAGGUAACGGCUUACCAAGGCAACGAUGCGUAGCCGACCUGAGAGGGUGAUCGGCCACACUGGAACUGAGACACGGUCCAGACUCCUACGGGAGGCAGCAGUAGGGAAUCUUCCGCAAUGGGCGAAAGCCUGACGGAGCAACGCCGCGUGAGUGGUGAAGGUCUUCGGAUCGUAAAACUCUGUUAUUAGGGAAGAACAAAUGUGUAAGUAACUAUGCACGUCUUGACGGUACCUAAUCAGAAAGCCACGGCUAACUACGUG
rnacentral:rRNA from 1 species